UCGCGUGAGGGAAGACGGUCCUACGGAUUGUAAACCUCUUUUGCCGGGGAGCAACGGGGUCCUUGCGAGGGCCCGAUGAGAGUACCCGGAGAAAAAGCAUCGGCUAACUCCGUGCCAGCAGCCGCGGUAAUACGGAGGAUGCGAGCGUUAUCCGGAUUUAUUGGGUUUAAAGGGUGCGUAGGCGGGCUGUUAAGUCAGCGGUCAAAUGUCGGGGCUCAACCCCGGCCUGCCGUUGAAACUGGCGGCCUCGAGUGGGCGAGAAGUAUGCGGAAUGCGUGGUGUAGCGGUGAAAUGCAUAGAUAUCACGCAGAACUCCGAUUGCGAAGGCAGCAUACCGGCGCCCUACUGACGCUGAGGCACGAAAGCGUGGGUAUCGAACAGGAUUAGAUACCCUGGUAGUCCACGCAGUAAACGAUGAAUGCUAGCUGUCCGGUUCUACGGGACUGG
rnacentral:rRNA from 1 species